GGUAGAGGAGCGUUCUGUAACCUGUGAAGGUGAUCGAGAGGUUUGCUGGAGGUAUCAGAAGUGCGAAUGCUGACAUAAAGUAACGAUAAUGUGGGUGAAAAACCCACACGCCGAAAGUCUAAGGUUUCCUGCGCCGUUAAUCCGCAGGGUGAGUCGGCCCUAAGGGAGGAGAAAUCGUAGUCGAUGGGAAACGGGUUAAUAUUCCCGUACUUUAUAAUACUGCGAUGGGGGGGGACGGAGAAGGCUAGGUCAGCCCCCCGAUGGUUGUGGUGGGCUAGUCAGCCACCGAUGUGUGUGUGUUAAGUGAUGUGUAGAAAGGAUCUUCAAAUCCGGAACUCAAUUCCGAGACAUGAUGACGAGUACGAACUUGUUCGUGCAAAGUGAUUGAUGCCACGACUUCCAGGAAAAGUCCCUAAGCUUCAGGUAUUGUAAAACCGUACUAUAAACCGACACAGGUGGACAGGUAGAGAAUACCAAGGCGCUUGAGAGAACUUGGGUGAAGGAACUAGGCAAAAUGGCACCGUAACUUCGGGAGAAGGUGCGCCCUUGGUAAGUGAAGGUCCUUGCGACUGAGCUGAAAGGUUGCAGAUACCAGGUGGCUGCGAAAGACUAGUUUACUAAAAACAGCAACUCUGCAAACUCGUAAGAGAGCGUAAUAGGGUGUGAGCGCCUGCCCGGUGCCGGAAAGGUUAAGUGAUGGGGUUAGCCCUCGGGCGAAGCUCUUGAUCGAAGCCCCGGUAAACGGGCGGCCGUAACUAUAAAUUAACCGUUGUAGUUACGUAAAUAAACUUGGCUAUAUGCUGGAAACUCCGAGUAUCCUCCAGUACUCAUCUCAACUAAAAUUGAGGUAGUAAAAAUCUGCGAGGUGCAGGUACCCGCGGCUAGACGGAAAGACCCCGUGAACCUUUACUACAGCUUUACACUGAACUUUGAAUAUGCCUGUGUAGGAUAGGUGGGAGGCUUUGAAGCUGGAGCGCUAGCUCCAGUGGAGCCAACCUUGAAAUACCACCCUGGCGUGUUUGAGGUUCUAACCCUGUCCCGUAAUCCGGGUCGGGAACAGUGUAUGGUGGGUAGUUUGACUGGGGCGGUCUCCUCCUAAAGAGUAACGGAGGAGUACAAAGGUACCCUCAGCACGGUCGGAAAUCGUGCAUUGUGUGCAAAGGCAUAAGGUGCUUGACUGCGAGACGUACAAGUCGAGCAGGUACGAAAGUAGGUCUUAGUGAUCCGGUGGUCCUUUAUGGAAGGGCACGCUCAACGGAUAAAAGGACUCCGGGGAUAACAGGCUGAUACCACCCAAGAGUUCAUAUCGACGGUGGUGUUUGGCACCUCGAUGUCGGCUCAUCACAUCCUGGGGCUGUAGCCGGUCCCAAGGGUAUGGCUGUUCGCCAUUUAAAGUGGUACGUGAGCUGGGUUUAGAACGUCGUGAGACAGUUCGGUCCCUAUCUGCCGUUGGGCGUUGGAGAUUUGAGAGGAGCUGCUCCUAGUACGAGAGGACCGGAGUGGACGUACCUCUGGUGUUCCGGUUGUCACGCCAGUGGCAUUUGCCGGGUAGCUAAGUACGGACGGGAUAACCGCUGAAAGCAUCUAAGCGGGAAACCCCCUCAAGAUGAGAUCUCCGGACCUUUAAGGUCCUAAAGAUUCGUUGAAGACGACAACGUUGAUAGGCAGGGUGUGGAAGUCUCAGUAAUGAGUGAAGCUAACCUGUACUAAUUAAUCGUGCGACUUGACUAU
rnacentral:rRNA from 1 species